rnacentral:rRNA from 1 species
AAGAAGAAGAAUGUGUGUGUUAAAAAAGAAAAAAAAAAACAAAGAAAAGAUAUGAAAAUUUUUUCCCGCUGUUGCCCCCCCCCCUCCCAACAAAUAUCCCCCCCACCAGCACAAAAAAUUAUAAUUGUUGUGUCGGGGGAGAAGCGCGGGGGUUCCCCCCAAUGCCCGAUGAGAGACCCCCUUUUUGGGGUGUCUCGGCCUCACCCCCUCUUUUUUUUUCCCGCCCAACCCUUUAAAAAAACAAACAGGGGGGGAACCCCUUUCUCCCUUCUCGCCGCCCCAAAAAAAAUAAACCUCUUCUCCAGAAAGGAGGGGGGGGAAAACCCCCGGCCGACAAACCGUUUUCUCCCGGGGGCUGCCCAAUAUUGUUUCAAAGUUUGGGGUCCGGGGAUUUUUCCAAUCCCCACUUGUUUUUCCGUUUGCGGGCUUUUUAAAUGUUAAAAACACAAAUUUUUGUUUUUAAUUUUUCUUUUUAAAACUUCCCCAAUAAAACCCAUUAAAGCUUUCGAGUUUGUUUUCCCUUGUUAACCUUGGGUUAAAGCUUCCAAAGGGAAAUUAAUGAAUGAUUACUUCUGUAGGUGAUGGUGAGGAAGAUUCAUUAAGAAAAAUAGUUUUAAGGAGGAAAAGGUAAGCUUCCAUUAAAGGUACCUGGGGAAGGAUCAGUGCAUGNAUNANUAGUCCUUUCCCUGAAGGGGACUGCGGAAGGAUCAUUG